AAAAAGAAGAGCUUUAUAUGAGAACGGAUCAAGCGUUCGAGAGUUGAGACAAGGAAAUGAAACAUUGGAACGACGCUGCUUAAAUUGAAGCAUGGUCUGCGAAUGACCUGCUACGCUCGGAAGUGAUAUCACCAUUCGGGAAGAAAUCAGGUAAAACGCUUGUCUGUUUGUCAUUGCGGAAAAGUCAAUUAAUUCGAUUUCGCUUUUGUUCCCAGAGAUGAAAAAAGAAAACUCUAAAUACCCAGUACUGUAAGAUAUACGUCUGGUACAUUGCAGGUAAGAAUGGAUUGUGUGUGGCACUUCUCCGCAUAUGGACUUGAGUAGAUCUAGGAACAUCAGACAGAAAGGAAUGUACGUGAAACACUGUGGACAACCGUUAUUUUGUAUGAGAACUGUAACUUUCCAAGAUUCACUCUCGACGGGGACAGAGAAAUACUGGAUGAUGUACCGUUCAGAGCCAAGAACAUGGAACGGCUGAAAGAGAGACUCCCAGGCAGUAUGCAAAACUCUCACAGCACACCAGUACUGUCCUUUAGCUGUAUCGUACUACUUCAGUGAACAAAAAUUGCUUGCAAAUUGUUAACACUGCUGCGCGAAAAAAAUUAUUUACUUUAUGAUUGCAAAAUAAACCCCAAAAGAGAACAUUGCGUUCACGUGUUUCUUUGUUGCGUGUUACGUACUUAUACUAACGAGUACAGAGAAUAGUUAGUGGCGUUUAAUUAUGUUUUACAUGUAAAUUAUACGCGCAUGUCGCGUAUAUUAAUUGUCAGCGCGAGUUAAACGCCUCUAUUAAACUGUAUAUCGUUGACCUGAAAACGUAACACGCAGCAAAAAAAGAAACACCUGAUGUGUUUUUUUUUAAUAUAAUAAAGAAUAAAGAAAAAAACGUCCGCACCCAGCCGAUGGUCAAUGGCAAACCGGUGCUUACGAAAUGUUGGGUCGUAGUCGGCCCGCGUGCAGAGUGCACUCGGCCACGUCGGCUACAGGGGCCGGGCCUUUGCCGAUGGUCGUUAGACGUGAAGCCAGUGUCAA